GAUGAACGCUAGCGAUAGGCCUAACACAUGCAAGUCGAGGGGCAUCACAUGAGGCAGCAAUGCCGAUGGUGGCGACCGGCGCACGGGUGAGUAACACGUAUGCAACCUGCCUUCAACAAGGGGAUAACCCGUUGAAAAACGGACUAAUACCCUAUAAUACAGGGGUCCCGCAUGGGGAUAUUUGUUAAAGAUUUAUCGGUACAAGAUGAGCAUGCGUCCCAUUAGUUAGUUGGUGUGGUAACGGCACACCAAGACGAUGAUGGGUAGGGGUCCUGAGAGGGAGAUCCCCCACACUGGUACUGAGACACGGACCAGACUCCUACGGGAGGCAGCAGUGAGGAAUAUUGGGCAAUGGAGGCAACUCUGACCCAGCCAUGCCGCGUGCAGGAAGACGGUCCUAUGGAUUGUAAACUGCUUUUUAACGGGAAUAAAGUGCCCCACGCGUGGGGUUUUGCAUGUACCGUAUGAAUAAGGAUCGGCUAACUCCGUGCC
rnacentral:rRNA from 1 species